rnacentral:rRNA from 1 species
GGAAUAUUGGACAAUGGGGGAAACCCUGAUCCAGCGACGCCGCGUGGGUGAAGAAGGCCUGCGGGUUGUAAAGCCCUUUCAGUGGGGAAGGAAAGCCUCGAGCUAAUACCUCGGGGUCUUGACGUAACCCAUCGAAGAAGCACCGGCUAACCCUGUUCCAGCAGCCGCGGUAAUACAGAGGGUGCGAGCGUUAAUCGGAAUUACUGGGCGUCAAGCGCGCGUAGGCGGCUUUGCAAGUCGGGUGUGAAAUCCCCAGGCUUAACCUGGGAACUGCAUUCGAGACUGCAUUGCUAGAGUAUGGGAGAGGGAAGUGGAAUUUCAGGUGUAGCGGUGAAAUGCGUAGAUAUCUGAAGGAACAUCAGUGGCGAAAGCGACUUCCUGGACCAAUACUGACGCUCAUGUGCGAAAGCGUGGGGAGCAAA